rnacentral:lncRNA from 10 species
AGCCUGUAAAGUUUUAGGAUCAAGGUUAAAGGCCCUUUUUUGCUCUCUUCUCUCUUGGACCUUCAGGCGACGGCUUGGGUAUCUUCCAAGCGAAUUUUCCUUUCUUUCCUGUUCUUUUUUUUUUUUGAGACGGAGUCUUGCUCUGUCGCCCAGGCUGGAGUGCAGUGGCGUGAUGUCGGCUCACUGCAAGCUCCGCCUCCCGGGUUCACGCCAUUCUCCUGCUUCAGCCUCCUGAGUAGCUGGGGCUACAGGCGCCCGCCACCACGCCCGGCUAAUUUUUUUGUAUUUUUUUUUUUAGUAGAGACGGGGUUCCACCGUGUUAGCCAGGAUGGUCUCGAUUUCCUGACCUCGUCAUCCUCCCGCCUUGGCCUCCCAAAGUGCUGGGAUUACAGGCUUGAGCCACCGCGCCCCGCUCUUUCGUGUUCCAAAGGCUUUUUAAAUAAACUUCCACUCCUGUCCUGGAUUCUGCUUUAUGGCCCUCAGUCGAAUUCUUUCUUCUGAGGAGGCAAGGACUGAAGUUGCUUCUGACCAGUACAGGACCUGGAAGAAGUCAUGCCACGGGCCAGACCUUAACAUUCCUUUCGGCUUACCCCAGGAUUUCAGACAAAGCUUCACUUUCCUAACCAGUCACAAAUCAGAGAAUUUUUGAUUCCACCUAUGACCUGUGAGCUCCUGCUUCAAGAUAUUCCACCUUUUUUAGGCCAAACCAAUGUAUAACCUCCAAGUGUCGAUUUACACUUUCGACUGUAACUUCUGCUUUCCUGAGAUUUACCCCUGCCUUUAAAAACCCUUGCUUGUAAUCCCUCAGGGAGGCCGUGUAUUUAUUAAUCAUGAGCUGCCCAAUUCUCCUUGCUUGGUGCCCUGCAAAUAAACACCCUCUUUUCUCCCACUGCAAAACCUCAGUGUGGAUGUUUGGCUUUACUUCACCCCCAGGAAAGCAGACCCAGGUUUGACUCAGCAACAACAUCUGUUUCUAUUUUUCUCUGUAUAAAUAUUAAAAACCAUAAGUACAUGCUAUCUCCAAUUCCAAUAUAAACCCAUAGGGCUCAUUCUGGCCUUCCCAUUUUCUUAUGUGUAAUUCAUUUCUCUGAAAAUGAGAAUUCGAGUACUCAGAUAUUUACUUACCUACUCAAUCCUAGAAUAGAAAUAAAAUAAUUC